AUCGUUGGUGGAUGUUCCUGGUCUGGGCAGAGAUACCUUUAGCAGGGGUCUUAGAGGGUAAACAGAGCUUUUCUCUUUCCCACUUGGGUGAUAUGUAGUUAAGUCUUUGCUAGCUCUGAUGUACAAGAGUGAAUAUUUGCUGGGAGAGAGCACUGAGGACCCUGACCAGGCAAGCUCUGUAAGAAACUCAAAGUACAAUGUUCCUCGAGUCUAUGGCUGGAGCAGCACUAUCUGCAGGGUCCUGUUUUUUUAUUUCCAGUAUUCUCAGAACUACAGGAGAGCUCAGAGGCUCUCCAGUACCAGAAGGACACCAACUGGAGUGCGUCCAGCUGAGGCCACCAAGGGUGGUGGUCACUCCAGAACUGCUCAUAGACAGAAAGGUUUGGCAACGUUUGCACCGUGCAUGGCCACUGCCCGACAGCAUUAGUGGAAACUGCCUUUCCCUGGUGACCUUGCUGCUAAGCUGGAGACUGCCAGGGACUGUCACCUCCAAUGACACUGCUCAGAGGGUCCUUGUCAGAACAAUUACCACUGCAAGAUCAGUGUGGGCAUAGAAAACACAUUUCCUCAUCUAUUACUCAUCCCUUAGGUUUGUAAAGUGCCAAGCACUUCCCUGGUGCCUGCUCAGGUUCAUUGGCUGCACUCUGGAGAACGAAAAGGCAACUAGUCUUACUCCUCAUUUAACUAAACCAUGCCGAGAGAGAAAGAAGUGCCUCUCCUCUCUCCUCCCUGCUGUAAUCUAUCGCCGAAGGGCAGGGAACACCUUGGGCAGCAGGUGAGCAGCUGGACGGAGCGCAGGGGGCCCACGUGCUGCACCUCUUCCCCCUGCAGGACCCCGCAGCCUUAGGGAAAACUAGGAGGAACUGUGAUUUAUUCUCCACUCUCAAGUGAUACAGUGAUACUGUGAACCUUUUGAAGCAAAGUGAGGUGGUUAUUUUUUUUGUUGUUUCCUUUUUUUUUUUUUUUUUUUUUUUUUUUUCCCAGGGAUUCCCCAAGUGGAUGGCUGUCAAAGAUUUUAAUAUACUGCAGGCACAGCAGCUAAUUCUCAAAUCUCUUGCAGAAGGAUUUUACAGAGGGAAGCUAGGAUGCAAAUCCUUUUGAAGGCUUUUUCCAUUUUGAAACCUAUAAAUAGGAAAGUAGGGCAAAAUGACUUUGACAAGUUUAGACCUCACCUUCUUUAAUUACUCUCUUUGGAUCAACAACCUGACUGCAAAUGCUUAUCUGCUCCAACAUUACGCACAGGUUUGGAGUUUAUUUUUUAAAAGCAGUGCAUGACAGUUCUGCAUAAUAUUUUUAAUACCCUUGGCCACCAGAGAUUUCCAUAUUCCAGCCAAUCUUUAAAUUUAUAAUUGAUAUAAAUGGUGAACCAGGCUGAUUGCCUGUAUUGUCGUUUCAGUGCAAAAAGUCUGUCCAUUUAUUGUUCUUUAUGAAUGUAAAUUUUCUGCUGCUGCCUUUUUUGCAUUUCUUCUUCCUUUUCAAUAAUUGUGAAAAUUUUAAAAAUUGUCUUUUUACCAGUCAGUAACAAUAACAGCUAACAUACAUCACUAAUAAAAUAAACCAUUAAUAAAUUAGUUAUAAGAAUGUCAUUUUAUUAUAUGUUUAAAAUAGAAUAUAUCUGGUUGCUCUUCUAUGAUGUAUAAUGUUGUUUUAAUAAAUAAAAUAGAUAUUGCAUA